rnacentral:lncRNA from 12 species
CUUCAACUCCGAGUGCCAACAUGAAAACACGCAAAAGCCUGUUUUCCAACUUGUAGAUCAGAAAACAGGCCUGAUACUGGGAGACAUGUUUUCAUAUCAAGUACGCAGCAUUCUGACAAAGCUCCUCCGUCCCCACCUUUCUCAGUUGUAAGAAAACCCAAGAUGUGUUGAGCUCGCUAGAAUCAAAGUUGACUUUGGCAAUAGUACUCCUUCAUUUGAUCCAAAUUUACAAGUGGAGAAGUUACAGCACUCCAUUUUUGUUCACGUAUCUACUUCUCUACCAUGUGACUGAGAGAAAGCUGAUCUGGACACUGGAACCUGCUUCAUCUGAGCCAGUAAAUGUGCAACAUUGUCCGGGUGACAUUAUGCAUUCAGAGCUGUACAUGAGGAACUAAGUCUGCCCAAUUAUAGUCCAUGAUUGAAGGAGAGGUUUCUUUAGCUCUUCCACAAGAUCUAACAAAAGACAAUGAUUCACUUGAUAUGUCAACAAACUGGGGGCAUUGAGGACCCAAAUCAAGGAGAAGCUGACAGAUCAAAGGAUAACAGAUUUUAAAAACUUGAAUUCUUGAUGACAGUACUGAGCUACUGAAAAAAAAAAAUUCAGCCUGGGAACCUUACUGACUUCUAAAUUGCUUCUUAUGUGGGAUGAAAAAUAUCUGAAGAUCCACUGUUGAUGUGAAUGAUUUUUAUAUGAUUACUCUUCAAAAUGUGAUUAUUAUUUGUAUAUUUGCACUGUAAGAAUAUAUCUUAAAUUUUUACUUUAUUUAGCCACGGUCACUAUAUCUUUGAGCAUUGAACAUAUUUAAGCAACAAUAUUUCAACACUUCUUUCAAGUGGAUUUUUGAAGUUACUGGGUCCAGAGGAGUUUUACGUGUCCCGAAUAAAAUGCUAAUUUGUAUAUCUAUAAGUAUGUAU